AUUGAACGCUGGCGGCAGGCCUAACACAUGCAAGUCGAACGAGUGGCGGACGGGUGAGUAAUGUCUGGGAAACUGCCCGAUGGAGGGGGAUAACUACUGGAAACGGUAGCUAAUACCGCAUACCAUCGGAUGUGCCCGGAUGGGAUUAGCGAGUAGGUGGGGUAACGGGUAACCUAGUCGACGAUCCCUAGCUGGUCUGAGAGGAUGACCAGCCACACUGGAACUGAGACACGGUCCAGACUCCUACGGGAGGCAGCAGUGGGGAGUAUUGCACAAUGGGCGCAAGCCUGAUGCAGCCAUGCCGCGUGUAUGAAGAAGGGCUUCGGGUUGUAAAGUACUUUCAGCGAGGAGGCGUUACUCGCAGAAGAAGCACCGGCUAACUCCGUGCCAGCAGCCGCGGUAAUUC
rnacentral:rRNA from 1 species